rnacentral:rRNA from 1 species
CAGCCGCCGCGGUAAUACGGAGGGUGCAAGCGUUAAUCGGAAUUACUGGGCGUAAAGCGUGCGUAGGCGGUUCGUUAAGUCUGUUGUGAAAGCCCCGGGCUCAACCUGGGAAUGGCAAUGGAUACUGGCGAGCUAGAGUGUGUCAGAGGAUGGUGGAAUUCCCGGUGUAGCGGUGAAGUGCGUAGAGAUCGGGAGGAACUUCAGUGGCGAAGGCGGCCAUCUGGACCAUAACUGACGCUGAGGCACGAAAGCUAGGGGAGCAAACAGGAUUAGAUACCCCAGUAGUCCCUGUCUCUUAUAC